rnacentral:lncRNA from 1 species
GCGUUGAUGCUGAUGGCGCAGCCAGACCCGCCCCGUGUGUUGCAGCCCGUGUAAUACCCUUCUCUCCCUACCCACAGUUGGGGUCAUCUUCUAUAAGCGGGUCAUGAAAUAGGCGAGCUAGCUCUGUGCACUCUUUUCUUCCUUUCUGGAAAACUAGUUCUGAAAGCAUCUUUUUUGUUGCUGUUGUAGGUUAUGAUUUAAUUCUACCUUAUUGGUGUGACCAGGAACAGGGCAAGAGUCCACCUCUACAAUCCCAUAGGAAGAACAGUCAGGAGAAUUAUAUACAUCUACAGCGGGCACAGGACUUAGGCCAGAUCUUCCUGGAAAGUGGUCAGAAAGACUUAGACUUAAGCCACGGGAGUUAGGCCAAGCUGAUCGUUUGCCCUUUCAAAGAUGGCAAAAUACUGUUGGAUGAAGAGGUAGCCCAGGAUCCAGAACUCUUAUGGGUGGUGGAGAUGUUCAUACCCUGGAAGCUGCUAGUGCAGCCCUGCUGGCUUUUUACUGAUUUUAUGAAGGAUAUUAAAAAAAGGCUGGGCAUGGUGGCUCACACCUGUAAUUCCAGCACUUUGGGAGGCUGAGGCAGGUGGAUCACUUGAGGUCAGGAGUUCAAGACCAGCCUGACCAAUAUGGGUGAAACCCAGUCUCUACUGAAAAUACAAAAAUCAGCCAGGUGCGGUGGCAGGUGCCUGUAAUCCCACGUACUCGGGAGGCUGAGGCAGGAGAAUUUCUUGAACCCAGGAGGUAGAGGUUGUAGUGAGCCGAGAUUGCAUCCCUGCACUCCAGCCUUGGCAACACAGCAAGACAAAAAAAAAAAGAUACUGAAAAGGAUACAGAUGAACAGUCGGUUGGAAGAGAUGUGUGGGACAAGGCACGGUGGAUGGGGCUUGGAGCUUCCAUGCCCUUUCCUGGUGGGGCCAUCUUCCAGAAACCUCCAC